rnacentral:ncRNA from 1 species
GAAAAGUUUUAUUUUAGCUUUAAAUAUUAAUGUUUAUUUUUUAUUUUACAUGUGAGUGUUAGCGUGGAAUAUAUUAAUUUUAAAAAGAUUUAUAUUUUUUUAUUUAUUCGCAGUUUAUAAUUUUUUAUAUUUAAGAAAUUAAGAUUAAGAAAUUUAUUAUAAUAUUAACAAAGUUUGUGCCAGCAGUUGCGGUUAUACAAACAAUAUAAUUAAUAUUUAUUAAUUAAUAAUUAAUUUAUUUUAUUUUAAUUUAAUUUGUAUAUUAUUAAGUGAAAUUUUAAUAUAUUUUAAAAUUAUAAAAAAUAUUAUGAAGUUAUUAAAUUUUAGAAUUAAACUAGGAUUAGAUACCCUAUUAUUUAAAAUGUAAAAUUUUAUAUUAAAUUAGUAUUAGUUAUUUUCUUGAAAAUUAAAAAAUUUGGCGGUAUUUUAGUCUUUUCAGAGGAACCUGUUCUGUAAUUGAUAUUCCACGAUUAGUCUUACUUUUAUUAAUUAAUUUAUAUAUCGUCGUAGUUUGAAUAUUUUAUAAGAAUUUUAAUGUUCAAGAUUAAUAAUUAUUAAAUAAAUCAGAUCAAGGUAUAGUUUAUAUAAAAGUAGAAAUGGGUUACAAUAAAUUUAUUUAUAUGGAUUUAAAUUUUAAAUAAUUUAAUGAAAGUGGAUUUGAAAGUAAUAUAAUUAAUUUAAAUUAUAUGAUUUAAGCUCUAAAAUAUGUACAUAUCGCCCGUCGCUUUCAUUUAAAAUGAAAUAAGUCGUAACAAAGUAGAUGUACUGGAAAGUGUACCUAGAAAGAU